rnacentral:rRNA from 1 species
UACGUAGGGGGCUAGCGUUGUCCGGAUUUAUUGGGCGUAAAGAGCGUGUAGGCGGCCAUGUAGGUCCGGUGUGAAAACUCGAGGCUUAACCUCGAGAUGUCAUCGGAAACCAUUUGGCUAGAGUCCGGAAGAGGAGAGUGGAAUUCCUGGUGUAGCGGUGAAAUGCGCAGAUAUCAGGAGGAACACCAAUAGCGAAGGCAGCUCGCUGGGACGUUACUGACACUGAGGCGCGAAAGCGUGGGGAGCGAACAGG